GCUGCAUGGCUGUCGUCAGCUCGUGUCGUGAGAUGUUGGGUUAAGUCCGCAACGAGCGCAACCCUUGCCAUCAGUUGCUACGAAAGGGCACUCUGAUGGGACUGCCGGUGACAAACCGGAGGAAGGUGGGGAUGACGUCAAGUCCUCAUGGCCCUUAUAGGUGGGGCUACACACGUCAUACAAUGGCCGGUACAAAGGGCAGCCAACCCGCGAGGGGGAGCCAAUCCCAUAAAGCCGGUCGUAGUCCGGAUCGCAGUCUGCAACUCGACUGCGUGAAGUCGGAAUCGCUAGUAAUCGUGGAUCAGCAUGUCACGGUGAAUACGUUCCCGGGUCUU
rnacentral:rRNA from 1 species